UUAUUUUUCUUCUUCACGCAGAUAGUAAUUGACGAACACAACACACCACGUGGAGAGAAGCAAGGUGUGGAGUACCCAAGCCUCUCACAGUCCAUGCUAGUAGACUCACCCUGCAUGUGGAGAUCUCCCAAAAUGCACGGAGGUUAUUCCAGAGCUGCAGGACAGAGUACUUGAGGCCAUUGGUGAACAGAAAGCUGAGGUUGAACAAAGCCAAGAAUUGAUAGCUGCCCAAGGUGUAAGCAAGAUUCACAAUGAUGAGGUCAUUGUGACGUGUGCAAUGUGUCCACUGGUCUUGGCCUUCCUGACCAAGGCAGCCACACAAAGGAAAUUCCACGUUAUUGUUGCCGAACGUGCCCCUAAAUAUGAUGUAAGGGUCACCCAGUGGCAAAAGCUUUAUGUACUGCUGGAAUUGAGACAACAUUAAUUCAAGACUCUGCAGUGUUCCCCAUCAUGUCACGUGUCAACAAGGUCAUCAAAGGUCAUCGUUGGCACCGAGACGGUGGUGACCAACGGAGGCAUUGAGACCUUUGUUGGUGCAGCCUCUCUUGCCUCACCACCAAAGUUUUAUUCUGUUCCACUGUAUGUGUGCACUCCCACAUACAAAUUUAGCUUGAUGGGCUGUGAAGAAAUAAGCCACCAAACCACCACUUCUAUUAUCCCAGAGGGAACAAAGUUUUGGCCGUCUGUAAAUACUGCGCUGACUCAGCUAGAUUACGUUCCUCCAGAAAAUGUCACCAGUUUGAUAACUAACAAUCGAGGUACUGCACCAUCCUACGUGUACCGGCAGCUUAGCGAACUGUACCGUCCCACUUCUUGUGAUCUCUAAGGUAACAGCUUUAAUCCUUGCAAAUAAGGAAUAAGAGAAAAGAGACACACCUGCCAUUUGUACUGUUAUGCUGUAGUGUUCUGUCAUUUUUUUCCUCUUUUAUCCUAGAACCAUUUUUGGUCAUUCAUGUUUCUAAAAAUUAUUAUACAAAAAUGUUGAGCUUAAUAUGUUUGGUGUAGUUUUUUGUAACAUGUGUUAUUGUUAAUGUGUGUGGUUCCCCUCAGGAAGAAUGUUGCAGUAUUAGCAGUAAUGUUACAGCCAAUGGAAGUGUCUGUAUUGUGCUUUGGUGGGAGGUUAAUUUGAUGUAUUUUUAGAGUUGUGCAGGAUAUAGCAAGCCCUCAAAAUAAAGAAAAUAACUAUAGAAAA